UACGAGGGGUGCAAGCGUUGCUCGGAAUUAUUGGGCGUAAAGGGUAGGUAGGUGGUCUCAUUUGUCCGGGGUGAAAGCCUUGAGCUUAACUCAAGAAGUGCCCCGGAAACGGUGAGACUCGAGUACUGGAGAGGGUCGUGGAAUUCCCGGUGUAGCGGUGAAAUGCGUAGAGAUCGGGAGGAACACCAAUUGCGAAGGCAGCUCGCUGGGACGUUACUGACGCUGAGACGCGAAAGCGUGGGGAGCAAACAGG
rnacentral:rRNA from 1 species